CCGUGUGAUGUUCGACAACCAAUAUCAACCCGAAAUUUUCGAGCACCAAUUGUGUUGGAUCCCGACCCCUAAGAUGCCACACUCCAGGCUCCAUGGCGAAUGUACUGAAACUGCAGGUUGACGGGUAUUUGGCCCUGACUGUCACGCACGUUGAUUGUAUGUCAUAUGCUGUUGCUUCCGUGAUGCGGUCCCGAACCCAGCAUUGGUUGAUGUUCGAUCCAGAAAACUUCAGAUGGAAGGACAACCCUCGAGCCAAAUUUAUCGUUAUCACCGGGACAAUACGUCGGAUUUUUUUAAACUGCAAGAGUUGAAACAACUGAAGAAUGUUGAUUAUAUAUGAACGCAAUUCCUCCUGCGCCACCUCCUACAAUGAUGGCUCCACCAGCUGCCGGCGCUAACAUUGUCAACCCAGUUCCAAUAAAAAUGGAAUCACCCAAAAAGAACGUCUUUCAGUCAGCCUUUCAAUCCGUUGAAAGGCUUUCACUGGUCCAGGCUACUCAACAACAAGCUUCAGGAAACGGUCUGGCAAUAAGCAGCUU